rnacentral:tRNA from 1 species
GCCACGGUCGCAUAACCCGGUAUUGCGCCGGCCUUGAGAGCCGGUGGGGCAACCCAUUCUCGGUUCGAAUCCGAGCCGUGGCG